rnacentral:rRNA from 1 species
CCUACGGGUGGCAGCAGUGGGGAAUAUUGCACAAUGGGGGAAACCCUGAUGCAGCAACGCCGCGUGAAGGAAGACGGCUUUCGGAUUGUAAAAUUCUGUUCUUAGUGAAGAAUAAUGACGGUAGCGAAGGAGCAAGCAACGGCUAACUACGGGCCAGCAGCCGCGGUAAUACGUAGGUGGCAAGCGUUGUCCGGAAUUACUGGGGGUAAAGGAAGCGCAGGCGGGAAGCCAAGUCAGCUGGGAAAACUGCGGGCUUAACUUGUAGACUGCAGUUGAAACUGGUUUUCUUGAGUGCAGUAGAGGUUGGCGGAAUUCCGAGUGUAGCGGUGAAAUGCGUAGAUAUUCGGAGGAACACCGGUGGCGAAGGCGGCCAGCUGGGCUUUAACUGACGCUGAGGCUCGAAAGUGUGGGGAGCAAACAGGAUUAGAUACCCCAGUAGUC